GCCAAUGGCGGGGCGGGAGGAGCCGCGGGGCGGGGCCAACGUUCCUGAAGCCUGGGAAGCCUUGAACAAAGGCCAACAGAGUUUUCAGCAGCUCCUGACCACUGCCCUAGUAAGACCCCAGUCCCCCUUAAAGUGCCUGCCCGUGAAACUCAAGGCUGUCUAAAGAAUUUGCUGCUUAUUCCAGCCACCACCUGAAGAUAGGGCCCCUGUUUCCCAGCUUCUGUGAGAGAGUAGGAGUCUAGCUUUGGUGCUAGAAGCCCACAAACCACAUUUCACAGAUUCCCUUGACAGCAGAGUUCUGCCAACAAAAUGUACCUGUGUGAAAUCUAGGAGGUGAAAAGGAGGUGGAAACCAUUCUUUCCUCCUCUGCAGCAGCAGAUGUGCAGGCUACAUAUUGGGACUGCAUGUUGCCAGUCAAGGCUUGGGACCAUGGAGUGCUGCAGUGACUUCAGCAGUGGGUUCCCGAAGUGUACUGCCUUUUGAGUGGCAGCAGCAGCUUUGAAUGUAUGGAAAGUAGCUGUGGUAAAGUAACCUGACAUUCACCACUGCUAGCCCCACAGUGGUGAGCAUCCAUUCCUUGUAAGACAUUAUGACCAGAGCUGAUACCAAGGGAUGGAUGCUUAACCAUCUGAGCCACCCUGGCAUCCCAGAAGUGGAGGGAGUUGUGCUUCUUCCACAGAUUGCACUUCAUUAUCCCUGUGCUUCAUUAUCUGUGUUGGUUGAGGAAGGCAGUAGUAGGUUUGGUGGUGGGUGGCUUUGGGAGAGAGCCUGGUAGCACACAUCUGACCCUCAGUGGAGUCAGGAGAGGCCAGUAGGGUGGUCCAUGAGAAUGGGUAAGUGGCACCACCAAUAUAUUUUCUGAAAUAAAGGCGUGAGGAGGGCAGUCUUGGGUAAUUACCACCCUCACACAUUUUUCUUUACCCUAGCCUUCCAGCCCCUCCCUGCUAGCUAUCCAAGGGUUGGGAUUUUUUUUUUUU